rnacentral:rRNA from 1 species
UGAGGAAUAUUGGUCAAUGGGCGAAAGCCUGAACCAGCCAAGUCGCGUGAGGGAAGACGGUCCUAUGGAUUGUAAACCUCUUUUGCAGGGGAGCAAUGCCCGGUACGUGUACCGGGAGGGAGAGUACCCUGAGAAAAAGCAUCGGCUAACUCCGUGCCAGCAGCCGCGGUAAUACGGAGGAUGCGAGCGUUAUCCGGAUUUAUUGGGUUUAAAGGGUGCGUAGGCGGACUUGUAAGUCAGCGGUAAAAAUGCGGUGCUCAACGCCGUAGUGCCGUUGAAACUGCAGGUCUUGAGUGAGCGAGAAGUAUGCGGAAUGCGUGGUGUAGCGGUGAAAUGCAUAGAUAUCACGCAGAACUCCGAUUGCGAAGGCAGCAUACCGGCGCUCAACUGACGCUGAGGCACGAAAGCGUGGGGAUCGAACAGGAUUAGAUACC